CAGCCAGCGCCCCCAUUUUUCCUGCAGCACCCUGAUCUGCACUCCCUGAGGGGCUCCCACUGUCCGCGGUGUGAGGAUGUCCCUGGAUAGUCCACUGUGUGCAGAGGCAUGGGAGUUGUCAUGUUGGGAACAUGCUAGACCUCAGUAUCCUUGAGGGAUGCUGCCUUGGGUCUGGAAACUGUUAGAGGAAACCCCAAGAGGUGCAGGCACUGAGCCUCUCAGGACAAUGACCUGGGGUCCCAGCUCCCCUGGAGGGGCCUCCUCAUGGUAAGUGAAUGCCAAGAGGUUAAGUUGGCCUGUGUUUCCGAGGUGGAAAUUCCAGGUCGCUGGCUUCAUUUGUCUUCUCUUUUAGAUUGUUUGGGGGUUGAUCACAGACCAAGAGUGACGAGUGAUGUCACCCUGUGACUCAUGGCUGGACCUUCUUGCCCCUAUUGUCUCAGCACAACAUUAUUCGACUUUUCCCUCAGCGUGGGUGGGCAGAGGAAAAGCCCUGUGGCUCUGGGGACUUGGGAUCCAGAGUUGAAGACCCUUCAGCUGGCUCUGCCCUGCCAGUGCCACAGAGUGCCAUGGCCCAGGAAGACAGGUUUUCUUCCAUCUAGGCCAGGCCAUCCAGUGGCCAUCCUCCGUGUCCUCCCGCCUCCUCCUGGUGUGACUUCUGAAAACCAAGAAUUUGUUCCUGUUGACUUUUUCUGUGCUAUGGACCAUUGUCCUCUCACCCACUCAAUAAAUCUUGAAACAUGC
rnacentral:lncRNA from 1 species